AAGUUCAUUUGCCAGAUUUUCAAAGUGGUACAGCAGAGGACCUAUGGUUUAAAGAUACUAUGAAUUACUUGAAUAUAAACAUACACUCAUAGCUGUGUUACACUGAAUUCCAAGUUGAGUAAGUUAGGUACUGGAUGAGACAAACAUAAAAAGUCUGGGCAUUUGCUGAAAAUGCCCAGACCUCUGAAAAUUUGGCCUAGUAUCUCAAGAGUUGGGCCUACACUCAUGAGGAGUGAGUCCCUCUGGCAUACCUGCCUUGCACUGUGAUUCACACCAUGGGCCUUCACCUUUAACUUGCAAGUUACUGAAGGAGUAGAUGAAUCAGAGAAUGCUAAGUCCUCAAAUUCCAAAUGUAUUCUGCAAUUAUAAUUCCAUAAGCAAAUGCAAAACUGCAGUUACCAACUGUAUAUCAUAUGAAAACAAAGGAGGAGCCUCAAGUUAACCUAGGUAGUAAAAGGUGGACAGGAGUUAUAUGGAAGGUUUCCUGAAAGGAAGAAGUAACAUUAGAGCUGGCUUUUAUUUUUUUAAGUGCACUGUUCAUAUCCCAGCUCUAACAUCUAAUAAUUGUGUGUCUGUGGGCAAUUCAAUAACUCCACUUCAUCUACAAUAUGACUUUUUUUUUUUUUGAGACAAUCUCACUCUGUUGCCCAGGAAGGGUGGGGUGCAGUGGCAUGAUCUGGGCUUACUGCAACCUCCACCUCCCAGGUUCAAGUGAUUUUCCUGCCUCAGCCUCCUGAAUAGCUGAGAUUACAGGAACCUGUCGCCACGCCAGGCUAAUUUUUAUAUUUUUAGUAGAGACAGCGUUUCACCAUGUUGGCCAGGCUGGUCUUGAACUCCUGACCUCAAGUGAUCCACCAGCCUUGGCCUCCCAAAGUGUUGCGAUUACAGGCGUGAGCCACCGUGUGUGCCCUGUAGUAUGACUUUAAUGUGAGAUAAUAUGUAUUACACCUGUCAUAAACAAGGCACUAAGUAAAUGGCAGGUAUUACACUGUUUAUAUGACAUCCUCCCUUUACUAUUUGCUCAUUCUAUACAUUCAAGAAAUGCACAUAUGAUUUAAAGCAUGAUUUUCAAAUCUUUCAAUCUAUCAUUUUGCCCAAUCCAUCAACCUCAUCCAGGAACCAUUAUCACUUAACACAGUUAUAUAUACCUCAGGCUAAUCUAGACAAUCUUCUCUUUACCUUUCAUUGGGUUAAUUAUAAAUCCUGCAACCAGCUCUCUACUCCUACUCCCCAUACAAUGUGCUAAUCAUGGAAGACAGAAGUAUUUAAUAACAAGACAAAGGUUCUGCUACCAAGAGGCUUAACAUUCUGUGGAUCACAGGGUAAAAAAGUUUUUCUUUCUCUCUCCUUUCUGUAUCCUACAUAAACGACUAGAAAAAAUGACCAUGAAUAUAAUGUAUAUGUUAGUGCUACUUACAAAAGAUAACAAUGGUUCCUUAUCAAACUACUCUAUCAAGCUGAAAUUUGUUAUAUUAGUACCAGUAAAAAUGAUUGUUUUCUACCAUUUCCUGAGCACUGCUGUUUCCUAGACUACCCAAAGCUUUUAUAAGAAUGCAGAGCCUCACAGCAGAGUCUUUCCAGCUUUUAAAGAUUAUGCUGUUCCUGUUCCAUUAAGAGCCUCCAAUAACAUAGUUUUAUUAUCUCUACAUACAUACAUAUAUUCCAAUGAUUUUUACAUACUUAGACCAUUUUUACCUCUAGUCAUGGUGUGUUCCACCUAGAAAGCUCCAACCCUCCAACUCAAGCUUUAGCCGUGCUUCAAAACCUUGCUGAAAUCCAUCCAAGUCUUCAUCCCUACUGCUCAUUCUUCUUAAUGUGGCAUAUUUUAACACUCAUUUAAUGCUGUGUUGCAUUGCUCAGUGAAAAUUUUUCAGGCAAUUAGCACAGUUUUCUCACUAGAUUACAAGUUAUGUAAGUCAAGGAACACAUCUUAAGUUGCUUUUGAACCCACCACAAUGCCUAACUUAGUGCUGAAUUUAUAAAUUUUACCAAAGACAACAGCUGGAGUGUAUAUUUUUAGUCUUCUAAUACAAUGGUACUUUGACAAAUAUCCUUGUGCAUAUUUUAGAUUAUCCCUUACAAAGAUGUUUCUUGAAGGCCAGAGAAUAAACAUUUUUACUGACCUGAUUCAGAAUGCCAAAAAUGCUUUCCCAAAGAGUUAUAAGUUUUCACUCACAAUUGCAAUAAGUACUUAUUUCAGCAUCUUAUAUUAAAUUGUGGGAAUGCAAUAGUACAGUCACUUUGGAAAACACCUUGCCAGUUUCUAAGUUAUAGAUACACUCACCAUAUGUGACCCAGCAAUUCUGUUAGGUACGUAUUUACGCAGGAUAAAUGGAAAUUUGCAGCCACACAAAGAUUUAUACUCAUAUUUAAUGCAACUUUAUUCUUAAUCAUAAUAAUUUGGGAAUAACCCAAACGUCCACCAACCAGUGAAUGGAUAAACAAAAUGUAAUAUAUCAAAUGGAAAACUAGUCAACAAUAAAAAAAGACCACCACAACAGUACAUGCAACAAAAUGAUGAAUCUCAAAAGUGUUAUGCUAAGAAAGCCAGAGACAAAAAGCAGCAUACUGUAUGAUUCUAUUUAUAUGACAUUCUAGAAAAGGGAAAACUAUAGUAACAGAAUCCAAAGUAGUGACAGCAUGGUAUUAGGAGUAAGAGGAGAGAAUGGAGUACAAGGGGACAUUUUGGGGUGAUGGAAAUGGGAAGAUUCCCUGUCUUGAUAGUGGCCAUGGUUACACAAUUAUCCAGUUUUCAAAAUGCAUCAAACUGUACAUUUGUAAAAAGGGUGAAUUUUAUUAUAUGUCAAUUAUAUCUCCAAAAAAAUCCAACUUAAAAAAAAAACACAACAAGAAUUUUUAUUAAACAAAAUAUUUGCUAAUUUGAUAUGGGGAAAAUUAUAUAUAAUUUGAAUUUGCAUCUCUUUGAGGCUGAGCAGUUUUUCAUAUUCACGACCUAGUUGCCCAUUCUUUAAACAAAUGUUUACCAAGCACCUAGCUAAUGUCUGGCACUGGAUAUAUAUGAAGAUGAAUAACAGAGACACAUUCCUCAAAGGGUUCUUUAUUUUCUCAACUCUCAUGUCUCUUCGUUCUUUUUUUCUUUUUUAAUUUUUAAUUAUUUAACUUUUUUUUUAGAGACAGUGUCUUGUUAUAUUACCCAAGCUGGAUUAGAAUUCCUGGGCUCAAGCAAUCCUCUUGCCUCAGUCUCCCAAAUAGCUGGGACUACAGGCAUGCAACACCACACGCAGCUUUCUUCAUAUUCUUUUAGUGGCCAUAACAGAAGGAGCAAAGAUAUGUUUUUUUCUUUGAUUAUAAGAUCAAAACUAGGAAGCUGAGAUAACAUGAAAAAGCAUUAAAAAAUUAAAAAAUCACCUAUAAGUCUAACAUUCAGAGUAAGCACUUGAAUAUUUAUCUCCUUGCAGUCUUUCCUUGAUGUACAGUAUAUUCCAUAUACAGUUUUACAUCUUAUACUUCAUUAGGAACAUUUCUCUAUUUCAUUAUUUCUAGAAAAUAGUUUUACUGUAUGAAUGUCUUAUGACUGUCCACUCCAUUACUGUUAGAAAUAUAAGUUCACUCUAAGUUCUUGCUGAGUAUGUCUGUCCAUUUCAUCAGUCUUUAGUCCGCCCAUAUCUGAUUAUUUGCCUCUGACAGACUUCUAGAAGUAUAAUUAAUCUAAUAAACAUAGGUAAUAGUGGAUUAAUUAUGUAACAGGACAGAUGGCAAAUAGUUGAGGCUUUGUGUCCCACUUACAGUGUCUAGCAUAUAUUCUUAUUUGUGUUUUUCCCCAUUACCCUUUAAGAAUGUAAGAAAUACUUGUAGUGGUAGGGCCAUACAAAAAUAGGCUACAGGCCAAAUUGGGCUGUAGUUUGCCAACCCCUGACUAAAUGUAUGAAUAUUUAAGGUUUUCCCACACACUAUUUUAUAACAUGUUACUGUUUUUCUAGAAGAAAGUCAUAUCAUUUUACAUCCCCACUAACAGAACAAGAGCAUAUCCCAUCUCACUGUACUUACCUAAGCUUUAAGUAAGCAAAUUUAAAAACUUAGUGAAUAUGAUAGGUGAAAAAUGGUAGCACAUUUAUGUUUAUUUACUUAACAGUGAGAAUGAACAUUUUUUUCUGUAUAUAGGUUGUUUACAUUUAUUCUUUUUUUCAUUUUUUUACUGAGUGUUGGAGUUUUGCUCUGUCACCCAGGUUGAAGUACAAUGGCAUAGGCAUAGUUCACUGCAGCCUUGAAUUUCUGGGCUCCAGUGAUCCUCCCACCUCAGGUCCCAAGUAGCUGGGACUACAGGCACAGGCCACUACACCUGGCUAAUUUUUAAACUUUUUUUUUAGAGAUGAAGGGUCUUGCUGUGUUGCCCAGGCUGGUCUAGAAAUCCUGGCCUCAAGUGAUCUGCCUGGCUUGACCUCAGGAGUUGUCAGGAUUACAGGCAUGAGCUACGUCAUCCAGUUUUUUUAUUAUUAAAAUAACUUGCAUAUUUAUGUUGUACAGCCUAUUUCAUUGCUGGGUAGUUUUCUCUUUGUUCCCCCUUUAAAGAAUUUUUUUAAUCUAAAAAUAUAGUUUACUGCUGAUAUGGUUUGCCUUUGUGCCUCCACCCAAAUCUCAUCUCAAAUUAUAAUCCCACAUGGAGGGAGGGACCUGGUGGGAGGUGACUGGAUCAUAGGGGUGGCUCCCCCCAUGCUGUUCUCAGGAUACUGAGUUCUUGCAAGAUCUGAUGCUUUAAAAGUGGCAAAUGCAAAUUCCUUUGGGGAAAAACACUUCAACCCAGGCCUUAAGAAAUCCAAAGUGCGAUUUCUCAUGAACAAUCCCCAAUAAACACUCAAAGUCAACAGCACAGAGAAACAAGGAAUCAUGAACAAGAACCAAGAAAAGCAAGAGAAAGCAGAAAAUGACCUGCAAAGACUUGAGAUGUCAGAAUUAUCAGAAAUAAUAUGCUCAGUAUUUUCAAAUAAAAGACUAUCGGUCAGAAGAAACUAUCCAGAGUGCAGCAUGGCGAGAAAGAUAGCAAGAGAAGUGGUUGAGAUAUAUGAAAGCUACCAUGAGAAGUUCUAAAAUAUAUUUGAUUGCAUUUCCAGAAGAAACAGAGAAAAAGAAUGAGGCAGAGGAAGUAUGUGAAGAAAUAAUGGCUAUUGUUACAUAUUUUAAUGCUAAACCUAUGAUUGGUGAGAGGGGAUCCCCCCGCAAAGCUGAGAAUUUUUCACAACUGAUAAGGUCAAUUCAUAGACUUAAGAAGCCUAACAAACUGUGCACAGUAUUAAAAAGAGAACUCCACACCUAGAUGUAAUAUUAGACCUGAUAAAACUACAAGGUAAAAAUCUUAAAAAAACAGAAUACCUUCAGAGGAGCAACAUUUUAAAAAGCUGAAUUCUCAACAGCAAAGACGGAAACUAGAGGCCACUGGGUGUGAUAUAUUCUAAGUGUUGAAAGCUACCUGCCACCUUAGUAUUUUAUACUGAGUGUUGCAUUGGAACUAAAGUUAUCAGUAUGAACUUACGAUUUUGUCUGUAUGUUUGUGUGUAUGUAUGUGUGUGUGUUUAGUUUUUCUUAAGGCCCUCCUUUGAUGAUUUUUACAUACACGCAUAUACAUGAUUUUUACAGACGGACAUAUACAUAUAUUUCCUACCCUGUUUGCCAAAAAGGCCUAGACAAAAUACCACUUCGGUGGUAGGAACUAGAUUUUCCAUUUCUACAAACCAUUCCCCAUUAAAAGGAACUAGGAAUCCUUGGAAAUAAUGGCUGGUCAGACAAAGUACAAGAUGGGCUUGGAAUAUCUGGUUGUUUCACAAAGGAGGUACCAAACAGUGACAGGGAUAUGUCGAAAGAACAGGAACUAGCUUAAAGGGGGUUGCCAAACCACUUGCCAAAUCUGUGACAGGCGGAUUUAAACCAUUUACACCUGUAAGGCUCUAAAAGUUCUGGUUAAGAGAGAAAGAUUGUUUGACUGGAUAGUAAAAAUGUACUGUAGGCUGUUUGUAAGAGACACACCUAAAACAUAAAGAUUGCCACAAAAAGGCUGAAAAAUCUAAAAAGUUAGGCAUAAAGAUUUAAGAGACAGAAAAAGAUACAAGAAACAGUUAUUAAUUUUAAAAUAAGCUCAUAUAGUGAUAUUGACAUGCCCACUCCAAGAAAUGUGACUUGCAUCUGUGCAAAACAUCUGGAAUUCAAACCUUGGUAAGUUUUUUUUUCUUUUUUUUUUUCCAGAGGGAGUCUCGCUCUGUCGCCAGGCUGGAGUGAAGUGGCACAAUCUCAGAUCACUGCAACCUCUGCCUCCCAAGUUCAAGCAAUUCUCCUGCCUCAGCCUCCCGAGUAGCUGUGACUACAGGUGUGCGCCACCACACUCAGCUAAUUUUUGUAUUUUUAGUAGAGACGGGGUUUCACCAUGUUGGCCAGGAUGGUCUCAAUUUCUUGACCUCGUGAUCCGCCUGCCUCACCUCCCAAAGUGCUGGGAUUACAGGUGUGAGCCACCAUGCCCGGCCAAACCUUGGUACGUUUUAUAGGCAGGGUAGGGGUUGGAGAUGGCUUGGGCUGACGUUCACUGCUUGAGCAUUUUCCAAAGUUUUUAAUUAAUCCCCUUCUUUUCUGCCCUACAUUUCGCCCCCAUUCUAUAUGAGGACACGCUUUCCUAAAUCCUGCUCCUUUCCUAUUUACUUUUUCUAGAGAAUUAAACUUAUGGUCUCUCACCUGAGCAUGGAGUGGAAAUGGGCAUAUAAGGUAAUCACAGAAGUUAUCACACCUACACCCUUCCCAGUAUAUGGAUGUACUAGGGAGGAAGAUUCCAUGGAAGAGGUAAAAUCUCCCCGCAUGCUUCAUUAUAGAAAGAAAAAGAGAACACUCUCUUCCUAACAGAACGGACCACUGUCUCAGCAUGUGGGAUGGUGAUAAUGAGGGAAUGAUUACCUACCAUCAGAUCAACAAUUAGUAUACACUGAAAUUACAAUGACUGUGAGACUGACCUAAGUGUGAAUAUACAACUUCUGAGCUUCCACUGCCUUUGGAGGGAUCACCACCAGGAUGCAGUCUAAAGGAAACUGUAGUGGUUUUAAAACAUUUACAACAUAAUUCUAAUGUUCAUGCACAUUUGAGACUGUGAAGUUAAAUGUAAUACAGCUGUAAGUACUCAGAUUAAUAUACAAAAUUUUAGUAAAUACUAAAAAACUUACCUAGAUUUAUCCAAAUUCCACCUGGCUUGAGUAUUUUCCAUAUUGUAUCAAUAUAAUCAAUUACAUUGUGAGCUGUGUCUAUGAAGAAACAGGUAGCAAUACAGUCCCAGGUAUCUAAUGAAGAAAAAUCAAAUUACUGCAUCUGUUAUGUUAUUUUGCUUUUUUCUUUUAAUUAAUUAUUUAAAUCUGCCAGUUACCUUUUACAGAGUAUUAAUAUUUGACAGAGAUACAGAAGCUAAACUUCUGAUCAACAUUAUAAUUACAGUAACCAAACAGUCAUUUAUGGGAAAUACUGAUAUCAAUAAUCUGAUUAAGUAAUCAAUUUGGAAAUCAUCCCCAAUAACACUAAUAUUAUAAUCUAAUCUCUACAUAUUAUUACCAAAUGGUAUUUGUUAGAGUUUUGUUUAUCCUCUAUUCAACUUCUAGCCUUCAUUUAAAAUCACUUAAAACAAAAUAAUAGUCAUUCAAAUUUAAACUAGUGUUAACCACCAAUUCUGGCAGGUUUCAGAAAGACUGCAGGCACCAGUUGCCAACUGAGAAAUGAAUGACAUCCAAAUACUUCAACAUCUACCACAACUUCGAAUAAUUACCAGGGAAAAAGGGGAGCCAGGGGCAGGCAGAAGCAGUGGGUGGGAACCCAGUAGAGAACACCGUUUGCCUCUAGGAGGUAUGGUGUCUAUACAAAUGCUGGUGCAAUAAAGGCACUUGAUCCCAUGGAGGACUACCUUCAUCAUCUGUUCUCUCAAACCUUGCUCCAGAAAAAGGGGACUUUUACUUGCCUAAGUGAUGUUUUCCAUUAUUUCAUUCCUUAUCCACAACACCUAACAUCUUCCAUCUCUCCCUUUCUUCCUUCAGAGUACAGGUUGUCCCAGUCUCAGAGUUCAGAGAAAAAUAAACAAAAACUUUCUAUGUUGUAAAAUAAAUAAAUAAAUAAAAACAAUCUAUGUUGUUGCUAUCCCUGCUUUAAGCCCUCCAAUGGCUUCCUGUUUCUCUGAGUACAAUUCCAAGUCCUUGCUAUGGCCUGCCAACAAGUUUGCCUCAUCAAACCCUCUCGAGGCUGACCUCUCACCACUGUACCCAUUGCUUACUACAGCCUAGCUCCUCCUUGAGCAGAGCAAGCACUCACUCUACUCCCUGAUCCUCUUCCCUUGCCAUUCCCCAUCUGCAAAAUUUUGCCUUCAAAUAUCUCAGUGGUUUGUCUGUGUACUCUUUCAAGGUUCUCUACUAGACAUUUUUUUUUUUUAGUUUCUACUCUUAGAAAGGCUUUCCCUGACAACUCUAUAUAAAGCAGCAGCCUCUCCCCAGUCACUCUGUAACCCGUCUUCCCUGCCUUAUUUUUUCUUCCUUACAAUAUUGUAUUUGUUAUUGCCUCACUUUCUCUAUUGGAAGUUCUCUGUGGACAGGGAUUUUGUUUUGUUCACUGUUCUCUUUUGACACCUAGAAAAAUACCUAGUACUUAGUAGGUGCUCAACAAAUACCUAUUGACUCAAUGAUCUUGCUGAACCCUCGGUAUUCUAUUUUGCUUUCCUUUUAGUGCCAAUCUCCCUCUCCACUUUCCCUAUUACCAUCUCCCUUUCUCUCCUGCCUAGCUCAGAUUUCUUCAACAGUUUGCCAGGCUGAAGUCAACUGUGCAGCCUGACUAUACAAGUCCUCCAUGAUCUGGAACAAAUUCACUUUUCUAGCAAUAGCUCCUAUUAAAUCUCAUUAAAUCUCCCAUUAAAUCUUUUCUUUCCCUGCCAGUACAGCUGUGCUGCCAUCCCCAAUCACCUUGUUCAUAUCUUUGUACUUCUGUCUGCCUCAAAUGCUAUUCUCUCAACCUUCAAGUCAUAGCCUCACUAUGAACAGCUUCCUUCUUACACUAAUAACCUUUCAUUUUUUUGGUAUUCAUUACUCAUUUAACCUUUGUUUACAUGGUAUCUCUUAGUAUUAAUGGGCCCAACAGAUUCUAAAUUUCUUGACUGUAGAUAUCUUACACUUCUUAUUUCCUAUCACUGCCUUGUACACGACCUUGAAAACAUUCUAAAUUGACACUGACAUAUGCCUUAUGUUCUACCAUCAAAAUGAAUGAUCUAAACCUUGGCUUAGGAUAAAACUAGCUCAUUAAAUUUAGAAUAAAGGACAAGACUUUUUAAACGCUUGAUUUGGACUUACUGCAUUCUGAAUAAAUCUCUUGA
rnacentral:lncRNA from 1 species